rnacentral:lncRNA from 1 species
AUACUGCACUGGAUCUGAUCUGCUUACCACCCCACAACUCAAGGCUUUGGGGAAGCUGGAGAGAAGAAAAUAGGUUGACUUGGUUCUAGCCACUUGGCUGAAACUUGAAUUCACCUUAAGCCGGAGGACUUAAAGCCAGGACCCUUGCUGGCUGAAAGUUAGGUUCCUUGGAUGACCAGGUUGCCAAGAGUUCCACCCACUAUGGAGUGUUUUUAUAGCUGCCUAAACGUUCUGCUCUUCUCGUUACACUGAGCGUUCAGUGGUUUCUGCCUGUUCAUCAAGAGUCCUUCAGAGCUAUUAGCAACCUACAUUUAUCAACUUUGUGGCACUUUGUGGUACACUUGCACCCUGCCGUCACAUCCUGGGUGUCUUCCUAUGCUAUCACUUCUCUUGACACUUAAAAAAAAAAGUUGAAAUUCUAGCAAUAAAUACAAUUGAUAAUACAAAAAAAAAAAA